AAUGGGGGAAACCCUGACGCAGCGACGCCGCGUGUGAGAAGAAGGCCUUCGGGUUGUAAAUCACUGUCGCUAGGGACGAAAGGUAUACCGGGGAAAGUUCGGUAUAAUUGACGGUACCUAGAGAGGAAGCACCGGCUAACUCCGUGCCAGCAGCCGCGGUAAUACGGAGGGUGCGAGCGUUGUUCGGAUUUAUUGGGCGUAAAGAGCAUGUAGGCUGUAUUGUAAGUUUGGUGUGAAAUCCUCGGGCUCAACCUGAGAACUGCACUGAAUACUGCUUUACUAGAGUUUUGGAGAGGGUACUGGAAUUUCUGGUGUAGAGGUGGAAUUCGUAGAUAUCAGAAAGAACACCGGUGGCGAAGGCGGGUACCUAGACAAAUACUGACGCUGAGAUGCGAAAGCGUGGGGAGCAAA
rnacentral:rRNA from 1 species